ACGACGGGUAGCUGGUCUGAGAGGACGGUCAGCCACAUUGGGACUGAGACACGGCCCAGACUCCUACGGGAGGCAGCAGCCGGGAAUAUUCGGCAAUGGGCGAAAGCCUGACCGAGCGACACCGCGUGAGCGACGAAUGCCUUCGGGUCGUAAAGCUCUUUUAUUUGGGAAGAAUGCAUAAGUAAUAUGUUUGACGGUACCAUUUGAAUAAGCCCCAGCUAACUACGUGCCAGCAGCUGCGGUAAUACGUAGGGGGCAAGCGUUAUCCGGAAUCACUGGGCGUAAAGGGUCCGCAGGUGUCCCGUUAAGUUAGAUGUUAAAUCGCAAGGCUCAACCUUGCGGCUGCAUCUAAUACUGACAGGAUAGAGGAUAGGUGACGGAAGUGGAAUUCCUGGUGGAGAGGUAAAAUCCGUAGAUAUCAGGAGGGACACCCGUGGCGUAGGCGGCUUCCGAACCUAUUCCUGACACUCAGGGACGAAAGCUAGGGGAGCAAACAGGAUUAGAUACCCUGGUAGUCCUAGCUGUAAACGAUGAAUACUAGAUAGUGGGUGCUACACCGUACUCACCGUCGUAGCUAACGCGUUAAGUAUUUCGCCUGGGAACUACGAUCGCAAGUUUGAAACUCAAAGGAAUUGACGGGUCCCCGCACAAGCAGCGAGGCAUGUGGCUUAAUUCGAUGGCAACACGAAGAACCUUACCUGGACUUGACAUGUUUCUGAAAGGCCGGAGAAACCCGGUCCCUUCCAGUUUACUGGAACAGUUUCACAGGUGGUGCAUGGUUGUCGUCAGCUCGUGUCGUGAGAUGUAAGGUUAAGUCCUUAAACGAGCGUAACCUUUGUCAUUAGUUGCCACCGGUUCGGCCGAGCACUCUAAUGAGACCGCUAGCGACAAGCUAGAGGAAGAUGGAGAUGACGUCAAAUCCUCACGUCCCUUAUGUCCAGGGCCGCACACAUGCGACAAUGGUAGAGACAGCGGGUUGCGACGGGGUAACCCUGAGCUAAUCCAUAAACUCUGCCUCAGUACAGAUCGAGGGCUGAAAUUCGACCUCGUGAAGAUGGAGUUGCUAGUAAACGCAGGUCGGCUAUGCUGCGUUGAUACGUUCCCGGGGAUUGUACACACCGCCCGUCACACCACCCGAGUCGUGUGCACCCGAAGUC
rnacentral:rRNA from 1 species